AUCGUCCUGGUGCCGCUCCCGCCGUCGCGGCCAGCGCCGCCUCACCUAGUGUUAGUUUCUCUCCUUGGGUGGCCCACGCUUAAGCGACCUAUGCUUCUUAUUCCUCUGAAACCUUACAGUUCCCCCUUAGAUGUGAUCCUUUCCAGAGCAAGAGCCAUAUCCAUCUCUAGUCGCACGAGUUUGUGCCAAGUCCUUUGCAAAAACCUUCAGAUGUGGGAUCUCAGGGAGGUGGUUAGGAUAAAUGAACUUCAGCUGUCUCAGAGCAAAUGCACAGGACGCGCUCAUUUAAUUACUAUAUUAGCUAGUUCGCAAUUUGCUGAGCCCAGAACCAUCCCCAAAAUACACCAAUCAAGACGUUGGUAAGUUU